UACGGAGGGGGCGAGCGUUAUUCGGAAUUACUGGGCGUAAAGCGUGCGCAGGCGGUUUUGUAAGUCAGAUGUGAAAUCCCCGGGCUUAACCUGGGAACUGCGUUUGAAACUACAAGGCUAGAGUGUGGCAGAGGGGGGUGGAAUUCCACGUGUAGCAGUGAAAUGCGUAGAGAUGUGGAGGAACACCGAUGGCGAAGGCAGCCCCCUGGGCUAACACUGACGCUCAUGCACGAAAGCGUGGGGAGCAAACAGG
rnacentral:rRNA from 1 species